UACGUAGGGUCCGAGCGUUGUCCGGAAUUAUUGGGCGUAAAGAGCUCGUAGGCGGUCUGUCGCGUCGGCUGUGAAAACCUGGGGCUCAACUCCAGCCGCAGUCGAUACGGGCAGACUAGAGUUCGGUAGGGGAGACUGGAAUUCCUGGUGUAGCGGUGAAAUGCGCAGAUAUCAGGAGGAACACCAGUGGCGAAGGCGGCUCACUGGCCCGGUACUGACGCUGAGGCACGAAAGCGUGGGGAGCAAACAGG
rnacentral:rRNA from 1 species